rnacentral:lncRNA from 1 species
GUAUAUCUUCUUUCUCCCCAAUUCUUUCCAAAGAAAUUACUGAUGCUGAGGAAGAUCCUGAGGAUAAAGCAACAAACAUUCUCUGUCAGCAUGGAAGAACCUUUGCUCCAAGCUCUAGGAUUGCCUCAUCAGCUGUUUCAGGACUCACUCUUAGCUAAAGAGAACCCCAUCACUUGUAGACACCUCUCCUUUCCUGCAGGCAGUCUGGAACCAGUGACAUUAAAGACCUGAACCCUGCACCUCAUCUUGGGACAAUUCUAAGGGCUACCUGAGUUCCACAUAUUAUCAAGGACUCAGCUGAAUCUUUUGAUGGAAAACUUGAGACCAGCGUCAGAGCUAGACAAGGGCCAUGGAGGGCCAAGGUCAUGGCAGAGCCUCAAUUGUCUCCACAGG